rnacentral:rRNA from 1 species
CCCUUAGAUGUUCUGGGUCGCACGCGCGCUACACUGACGGAGGCAGCGAGCGUGUCCUUCGCCGGCAGGUGCGGGCAAUCUUGCGAGUCUCCGUCGUGCUGGGGAUAGAUGGUUGCAAUUGUCGAUCUUGAACGAGGAAUUCCUAGUAAGCGCGAGUCAUCAGCUCGCGCUGAUUACGUCCCUGCCCUUUGUACACACCGCCCGUCGCUACUACAGAGUGCCCGUGUCCAAGAAACGGUCGGACCUGUGCGGCCUCUCCGGGCGACCGGAGGGCCGUUACGGGGAAGACCCUUUAUUUGACGCGGGUCGAUGAAGUAAAAGUCGUAACA